UAGGGAAUCUUGCGCAAUGGGCGAAAGCCUGACGCAGCCAUGCCGCGUGAAUGAUGAAGGUCUUAGGAUUGUAAAAUUCUUUCACCGGGGAAGAUAAUGACGGUACCCGGAGAAGAAGCCCCGGCUAACUUCGUGCCAGCAGCCGCGGUAAUACGAAGGGGGCUAGCGUUGCUCGGAAUUACUGGGCGUAAAGGGCGCGUAGGCGGACAGCUUAGUCAGAGGUGAAAGCCCAGGGCUCAACCUUGGAAAUGCCUUUGAUACUGGCUGUCUUGAGUUCGGGAGAGGUGAGUGGAAUGCCGAGUGUAGAGGUGAAAUUCGUAGAUAUUCGGCGGAACACCAGUGGCGAAGGCGACUCACUGGCCCGAUACUGACGCUGAGGCGCGAAAGCGUGGGGAGCAAACA
rnacentral:rRNA from 1 species